AGCAGCCGCGGUAAUUCCAGCUCCAAUAGCGUAUAUUAAAGUUGUUGCAGUUAAAAAGCUCGUAGUUGAAUUUCGGAGUUCUACCGUCGGUCGGGCUACCAAGUCUGUACUGGUGUGUAGAAUUCCUACCUUCUGGGGAACUAUCAUGUUAUUAAUUUAGCGUGGUGGGAAACCAGGACCUUUACCUUGAAAAAAUUAGAGUGUUCAAAGCAGGCUUAUGUCUGAAUACAUUAGCAUGGAAUAAUAGAAUAGGACGGUGGUCCUGUUUUGUUGGUUUCUGAAUCACCGUAAUGAUUAAUAGGGAUAGUUGGGGGCAUUAGUAUUCAAUUGUCAGAGGUGAAAUUCUUGGAUUUAUUGAAGACUAACUUCUGCGAAAGCAUUUGCCAAGGAUGUUUUCAUUAAUCAAGAACGAAAGUUAGAGGUUCGAAGGCGGAUCAGAUACCGCCCUAGUUCUAACCGUAACGAUGCCAACUAGCGAUCAGCGGGGUUAAAUUUAUGACUCCGCUGGAAGCUUUCCGGG
rnacentral:rRNA from 1 species